rnacentral:rRNA from 1 species
AGACAGCAGCAGCCGCGGGAAUACGAAGGGGGCUAGCGUUGUUCGGAAUCACUGGGCGUAAAGCGCACGUAGGCGGACUUUUAAGUCAGGGGUGAAAUCCCAAGGCUCAACCUCGGAACUGCCUUUGAUACUGGAAGUCUUGAGUUCGGGAGAGGUGAGUGGAACUGCGAGUGUAGAGGUGAAAUUCGUAGAUAUUCGCAAGAACACCAGUGGCGAAGGCGGCUCACUGGCCCGAUACUGACGCUGAGGUGCGAAAGCGUGGGGAGCAAACAGGAUUAGAUACCCGUGUAGUCCCUGUCUCUUAUAC